rnacentral:rRNA from 1 species
GUGCCUUCGGGAACUGUGAGACAGGUGCUGCAUGGCUGUCGUCAGCUCGUGUUGUGAAAUGUUGGGUUAAGUCCCGCAACGAGCGCAACCCUUAUCCUUUGUUGCCAGCGGUUAGGCCGGGAACUCAAAGGAGACUGCCAGUGAUAAACUGGAGGAAGGUGGGGAUGACGUCAAGUCAUCAUGGCCCUUACGACCAGGGCUACACACGUGCUACAAUGGCGCAUACAAAGAGAAGCGACCUCGCGAGAGCAAGCGGACCUCAUAAAGUGCGUCGUAGUCCGGAUUGGAGUCUGCAACUCGACUCCAUGAAGUCGGAAUCGCUAGUAAUCGUGGAUCAGAAUGCCACGGUGAAUACGUUCCCGGGCCUUGUACACACCGCCCGUCACACCAUGGGAGUGGGGUGCAAAAGAAGUAGGUAGCUUAACCUUCGGGAGGGCGCUUACCACUUUGUGAUUCAUGACUGGGGUGAAGUCGUAACAAGGUAACCGUAGGGGAACCUGCGGUUGGAUCACCUCCUUACCUUAAAGAAGC